CGGCGGACGGGUGAGUAACGCGUGGGUAACCUGCCCUGUACGACACGGAUAACAUACCGAAAGGUAUGCUAAUACGGGAUAACAUAAGAAAUUCGCAUGUUUUUCUUAUCAAAGCUCCGGCGGUACAGGAUGGACCCGCGUCUGAUUAGCUAGUUGGUGAGGUAACGGCUCACCAAGGCGACGAUCAGUAGCCGACCUGAGAGGGUGAUCGGCCACAUUGGAACUGAGACACGGUCCAA
rnacentral:rRNA from 1 species